GCCAUGUCCGCACCCGGGAUCUGAACUGGCGAACCCUCGGCCGUCAAAGCAGAAUGUGCGCACUUAACCGCUGUGCCACCGGGCCGGCCCCAUGACAUGUGUUUUUUAAAAGAAAGAUUGAGCUGCUGUAAGCCCUUACAAGACAAGAGUCAAAGUCUGAUUUUAAAGUGUCCACGAAUGCCUGCCAUUAGUAAGUGGGACAGAGGAGUAAAUGCUGAGUUCUGCCCACUCUUCCUAUGGAGAGCUGAGGAGCCAUAGUUUUCACAACCAGAAGCCGUCCCCAGAGCUGUCAGCUGGUCGACGUAGUGUGUCCAGUUCCUGGCCUGGCUGAGCAGAGGGCUCUGUGUUGCUUUCUUAGGAGGAAUUGUCUGCAAGUCCUUGCUUAAGGGGAUUGAGAAGGACGUCAGAAUUGACACUUAGACUUUUUUCACUUGACGUGUUCUGUCCACGGACCGGCAGCAUUGCAGUCACCAGGGGAAUGUUGGAAGUGAGUGAGGUCAGAGGACGGGAGCCCAGACUGGGGAGGGCCUGGGUGAUGGCAUCUCCGUGGCCACUGUAGGUGAAGGAGAGUCGGUGCCCGCUGUGCAGGCCCUCAUUCUGUGCUGAGCCCUGGUCUGACACUGGGCUCUGCCCUGGCAUGAUGGCAGGGGUGUUGGCCGGGGGUGGAAGUCAGCUCCCUUAUGAAGUGCCCCGUAGGUGCUGUGUCAGGGGAGCCUGGGGGCCAGAUGCGAGUUCUCAUGUGAGCUGCUGUGAUGGAUAACCAGGACUCCAAUCCUUGGGUGCUCCAGGUGGAGAGCAGAUGCAGCUCAGAGGGAGAGACUGGUAAUGGCCCACAGACACCAGCCUUUGGGCAUCUGCCUGCUGACCUCAGGCCCCUUAACUCACUCCAAAGGCCUGUUGGUGUGGGCAGCACAGACCUGCCUGGCCGGGCUCAACUGUGUUCCCUUGGGUCCCAUCCUCUGCUGCAAAGGGGCUCACUUGUGCCCACAGCAGGGGCUGCCUGAGAAGGCUGAGCACGUUACCCCACAAGGGCCUUCUGUACACAGGUGGUGCUGGAGGCCACAUGUGGGUGCGGUGUAGACCAGCUUUGCCUUCACAUGUGUACGCAGGCCUGUCACUUGCCUGGCCGUAGGGAGUGGUGGGGUUUGACUGGUGUGGGUGACAAGGAGAUGGUAACAGUAAUGGUGACCACCCCCUUCUGGGUGUGUGCUGUGUGCAGGCACUGGGCUGAGUCUCUGUAACACCAAUCUGGUGGUGGCUAACAGGAGGACACACUGCUGCCCACGGUCACCGGGGUGGGGUCGGGUUGUGGUUCGGUGCUGCACAGUGGACUGCUGGCGAGCGCUGGUGCUGGGCAGGGCGCCGCUCGCACACCAUGGAGCUUGACUUGGAUGUUUUAGGAGCUGCAGUGCCCCUCAGGUUGCGAGGAGGGAAUCAUCGACUGAAGGACGUGCGUGGUUGGUGUUUUCUGGGCCUGGAGUCUGCUUCAGUUGUCCGGACCUCUUGUCCGGCAGUCAGACCUCUACACACGACCUGAGGUAGGUGCACCAACUGUGUCCCUGAAUUCCACAUCCACGUCCAGGGCAGGUGGCAGUCACACUGGUGGAGGCUGGACGGGUAGCUGUUUGACGUCACACAGGAACCCGCAUUUGGCCGUCCUGCUUUCUGGCUCUUCUGAAGUUAGUGGGGCUGCUGGACCCCGGGCCAGUGCGACCUCCCUGUCCGGUUUCGUCUCGCGCCUCUGCCUCAGGUCUCACGCUCUCAGGACUGUUAGGGCACUGUUCUAAGAAAGCGUUUCUUCACCUCGAACUCCAUGCUGUUUCAAGACCUUGUGAACAAAUAAAACUUGCGGUUGCUCGAUGAUGACAGUCAGUGUCUGCUAAGUCACUGCAGGGUAGCACACGUGCACACUGCUGCAUCUCUCCCUUUCCGCCACAGUCGUCUUGGCCAUCUCCCCACUGCAGUUCAUGGGGAGCUUCCUCUGCUGUUGGGAGGAAGCAUCCAGCACCAAGAAGUAGGCUCCAGGGCUGGCCAGGCUGAUGCUGAUGCCGCUAGUCCAGGGACCGCGCUUGGAGCAAAGUCUACAGUUUGGGCUCAACAAGUUCAGCUCCUCUCUCCUCCAAACGGUAUCAGCUGGGCUGCCUCAUCUGAAGCCAGAGGAUCCGUGUCAAGCAUGGAUCACCCACAUGGCUGGUGUCUUCCCCAGGUGGGCUGCCUUCCUCACAGCAUGGUGGAUGGGUUCUAAGAGACAGGCUGUAGCUGCCAGUUUAAGAUUGGGCCCAGAGAGAGGCCAGCAUCACUGCUUCCUGCUGUUGGCCAAGCAGUCCGGAGUCCAGGGGAGGGCACGGAGAGGGGGCCUCUGAUCAUAGGGCUGACCAUCAGAGAGCUCACCAUUAGAAAGCCCCCCAUUGCCAACUCUGUUUCCUGUGUGUUGGGGAUACGUAGACACUUUGACACCAUGUUUUUUGGGUUUUGCUUUUGCUGAGUAAGAUUCACCUGCGCUAACAUCUGCUGCCAGUCUUCCCCUUUUUGUGGGUGGGCCACCACCACAGCAUGACGACUGAGAGGGGAGUGGUGUAGGUCCAUGCCUGGGAAUGGAACCCAAGCACGCCAGACUCAACCACUAGGCCACAGGGGCCGGCGUGGUACUCCAUUUUGUUGAAUUACCACAGCUUAUUCAACCCGUCUCCUAUUACAGGCACUACAGUUGUUUCAAAUAUCUUAAUGUUAUAUUUAGUUACGUCCUUGUGUGUAUCCAUUUUCAGAUCUUUAGAGAUUUGUCUUCAGGGUAGAUUCCUAGAAGUGAGUUGUACAUCAAAAGGAACUUGAGGGGCUGGCCUGGUGGCGCAGCGGUUAAGUUCGCACAUUCCGCUUCGGCGGCCCGGGGUUCACCGGUU